UACGUAGGGUGCAAGCGUUGUCCGGAAUUAUUGGGCGUAAAGAGCGUGUAGGCGGCUCGGUAAGUCCGCUGUAAAAGUCAAAGGCUCAACCUUUGAAUGUCAGUGGAUACUGCCGGGCUAGAGUCCGGAAGAGGCGAGUGGAACUCCUGGUGUAGCGGUGGAAUGCGCAGAUAUCAGGAAGAACACCAACGGCGAAGGCAGCUCGCUGGGACGGUACUGACGCUGAGACGCGAAAGCGUGGGGAGCGAACAGG
rnacentral:rRNA from 1 species